rnacentral:rRNA from 1 species
AACGAACGCUGGCGGGCAGGCUUCAUACAUGCAAGUCGAGCGGAAAGGCCCUUCGGGGGUACUCGAGCGGCGAACGGGUGAGUAACAGGUGGGUAAUCUGCCUUUCGGAGGGGGAUAACGGCUGGAAACGGCCGCUAAUACCCCGUACGGUUGUGAAGCUCUCGGGCUUUGCAAAGAAAGGGGCCUUUAAAGCCCCGCCGAAAGAUGAGCCCGCCCCCCAUUAGCUAGUUGGCGGGGUAAUGGCCCACCAAGGCUGUGAUGGGUAGCCGAGCUGAGAGGUUGAUCGGCCACACUGGAACUGAGACACGGUCCAGACACCUACGGGUGGCAGCAGUAGGGAAUAUUGCGCAAUGGGCGAAAGCCUGACGCAGCCAUGCCGCGUGGAUGAUGAAGGCCUUCGGGUCGUAAAGUCCUUUUCUGAGGGAAGAACUGCCGGGGGAGGAAAUGCCCUUGGCUUGACGGUACCUCAGGAAUAAGCAACGGCUAACUCCGUG